rnacentral:lncRNA from 1 species
UGUUAAGUUAGAAAUACUAUGUACAAAAAUGUAAAGUAAAGUUGUUUGUCCUUUUGUUGACUUUGUAAAAGAUAGUUGUGCAGAUGUAAAGAAGCACUAACGUAUUAGUCUAGGAAUAUGUACAAAAGUAACUAUAGUUAGGUGUAAAGUAAUCAUAGUAGGAAUAAAGUAACCAUAGUAAGGUUAACUUAUCUGUGUAUAAAUAGGUAGCCAUUAUGGCAUAUAGAGGCAAG